AAAAACAAAAAACAAAAAGAAAAAAAAGAAAGAAAAAAAAAGAAAAAAAAAAGAACCGAAAAAAAAAAUAUAACAGAAAAAUCUUGGACUUGGACCUCUCUCUUUUGAGCCCACAAAGUCACAAAAAUCAGGUUAUAAAUUCUAGACUUCCAUCUCCCAAAAAACCCUAGGAGAAAGAUAGUGAGAGAAGAGCUAACAGAGCUCAGAGAAACCUCCAGAGACUGAAAGGAACUCAUCUGCAAAGAGCCAAUUUCAUUCGAUCUCUCCAAUCAGGUUUGCCCUAUUUCCAUUACUCUAUGCUUUUAAUUUGAAUGCUCUGAAUGUAUGAGGUAUUAUGGGUGAAUUUGGAAGAGUGGGUAUCGUUAGGUUUUACAUGUGGGCACAUGUUUUAGUAUGUAUGUCAUGUCUUGA
rnacentral:lncRNA from 1 species